AGCGAACGCUGGCGGCUGGCCUAACACAUGCAAGUCGAACGAACCUUUCGGGGUUAGUGGCGGACGGGUGAGUAACACGUGGGAACGUGCCUUUAGGUUCGGAAUAACUCAGGGAAACUUGUGCUAAUACCGAAUGUGCCCUUCGGGGGAAAGAUUUAUCGCCUUUAGAGCGGCCCGCGUCUGAUUAGCUAGUUGGUUGAGGUAAUGGCUCACCAAGGCGACGAUCAGUAGCUGGUCUGAGAGGAUGAUCGGCCACAUUGGGACUGAGACACGGCCCAAACUCCUACGGGAGGCAGCAGUGGGGAAUCUUGCGCAAUGGGCGAAAGCCUGACGCAGCCAUGCCGCGUGAAUGAUGAAGGUCUUAGGAUUGUAAAAUUCUUUCACCGGGGACGAUAAUGACGGUACCCGGAGAAGAAGCCCCGGCUAACUUCGUG
rnacentral:rRNA from 1 species